ensembl:lncRNA
CUGAAAUCCCACAAACACCGUAGUCUGCUUUGAACUUUGUAGUUUUCGGGAAAGGUGAGGGAGCAAUGACCACAGUGUUGGGAGGUUGUUUUUUAGUUUUGAACGUAACCGUAGUCUCUGUCUGUUGCACUUCAAAGACCAACUAAAGUACUGGAUGAUAGAGUCACUCAAGGGUCAUAAUGGGAUUGGUGCAAUACUCUGUGGCCCUCCUGAUGUUAUCCACACAGUUGGUGCUCAGCUUUCCCACACCACAGAACACCUACAACGUUGGUGGGAGAGAGUGUAAAUAUUGUCCUGCAGAGUUGCAUCUUAAAGUGGUUCAGAACUGCACCAGUACGUCUGAUAUUAAAUGUGACUGCGAGGAUGGUUUUAGAUGCAUCAGGUGGGCCCAUGACAAAAAGAACUGCUUGUCUUGUGAGAAGAUGCCAGACCCAACCCCAACCAAGUUUCAUUUUAAAGUGGUUCAGAACUACACCAGUACGUCUGAUAUGAAAUGUGACUGCGAGGAUGGUUUUAGAUGCAUCAGGUGGGCCCAUGACAAAAAGAACUGCUUGUCUUGUGAGAAGAUGCCAGACCCAACCCCAACCAAAGCAGCAGCUACAGAGAUCUCAGUCAGAGAUAAACACACGCCUUUCUCAGUUUCCUCCGGACAUACCAGCACUUCUCCCAAACCCUGCCAAUCUCCAGGGUGUCACCCAACGAAAGAGCCGAAUCCCACGGGAGGUCAUGCCAACCAUUACCUGGCAGCUAUUUUCAUUCCAGUGGGUGUCCUUGCAACUUUGGCCCUUCUCACCUUGUUCUGUGUCUGUCGUCCAAGAGAUGAGACAUAUAUAAGGCAAACUAUUGCAAAGCUCUGGAAUGAGGAAGGGCGAGGUGCUUCUCACAAGUCAAGGGAGCCAACUCAUCAGUUCCCCAGAGACUCAUUCAGUACAAAGCAGCAGCCCUCAACACCUUCAGCAGCCAAUCUUGGUCCAGUCCAUGUGCACAAUCCAGGCACAGUCAUCUUUAGCUUGCUCAGUCAAUUUACGGGUCAAGUCGGGCCAACGACCGAAUGUGGGAAGACGGCUGAGAGAGCGAGGAGAGAGGAAGAGGAUGAGAGAAACUGUCCAGUGUUUCAUCCUGCAUCUUCUCCCAGCAUUCAUCUCUCUGAGGAGGAGAGGAGUGGAGAGAAUGACACCAUUUUCUUCCCUUCCCAGGAGCAGGGGAAAGACUCCCACAUGUCGAAAGAGGAGAUCCUAUGAUGCAUCUCAAAAAAUUCAGAAGACUUGGAUACAACAAACUUUGAAACCACAGAUGAGUAUGGAUCAUAUUCGUCUUUCCUCAGCAAGCUGCGGAUGCACUGACUUUGUUUCUGCAGCUUCUGGAAAACACUCACCUCAGAAAUGUAUUAAAUCUCGGAAGAACAGCUGCAAAGUGGUCUUCUUUGUAAGUUAUGAUUUACGAACUCUUGUAUAUACUUUUAAUAAGCUUCUUUGGCUCAGUGCAAAGAAUGCCAUCCAAGGUGUAGAAAGCUUUGUUAGGUAGUUAUUAGGUAGUUUUAGUCAAAUUUAUUAAGUUUAUUUUAAAUGAAAAAGAAAUAGAAGAAAAAAUGUACACAGAACAUCCACAUGUGAUAUUGAAAAGCUGGCUACAAAAGCAGCUAAUUAUGUCUGCACAUAUAUGUAGAUAUACAUGAAAUAUGUUUAACUUUAUGUACUAUAGUACAUACUUUCCUUUCACUGCCACAAUGUCCCCUCUGUCUUAUCAGUUCCAAGAUUUUUACCCACCACAAUUUUAUACACUUCAAAGUCACAGAUGCCAAAAUGAUCAUCUGUCCUCUCAGGAAACAGCAACAGUUUCAAACUUUCCACCUUCUGGCAUUUCACUGAUCAGCACGGCGCGGAGUGCCUUUUAGCUCCAUUUAAAUGUCCAAAAGCAGUGACGAAUGUUUUCCAUCUGGGAUGUGCCACCGAGUGUCUUGUUAGGUUCUCGCUCCUCCAAAUUCCAGAUCUGGUCUUUAACACAUAGGUUGGUCACAUUUCCCGCACACUUCCUGGACGGGCUUGGACACUUCUUCAUCACAUGCAGGUUGUGUGGCAGGUUUUUCAGCCAAGAAGUACCCUAAGCAGCAAGAAAUGACGGGAUGGUUUUAAUAAGAAUUUAAACAUUUGGGGGUAUUUAUAACACAAAAGUUCUAAGAAAAAUAUUAAGUGAUUUAAAAGAAAUCUACUAACCGUGAGUGAACCUAAUCCAGACUAAAAAUGGCUUGAUUUUUGUCACAACAACCAGUGCAAUUCCUGUACACAGGAGGGCAAUUAUCACCAGGAACCACACCGUAUCUAUAAUAACACAUGAGAGAGUUAGUUUCCAUAAUUUACAUCAGUUCAAUAAUUUCACAGGCAACACAAUUUGGCUACUUUACCUGCAAUCGGUUUAGUGGCGAGCCUGGUGGUGGUAACAUCAGGUGUCGCCACUAGAGGGAAACAUAAAAAAAAGAGAACCUUAUAAGUUCACUGCAGGCAUUAUUAGUUCGAUGACAAGAUGACACUAUUGUGGCUUGGAUUUGUCAGUGAGCUCACUCUUUUGUCCCUAAUGUUUAACUUAUUUCAUCAUGUGUUUGUGUGUGUGUGUGUGUGUUUGAAUGUGUGUGUCCUUUCUCCACGGUUACUACAGAAGAGGCAAACAGUUACAAGAACAUGCAAAUAGCUUCCAAGCAUUAUUAACAGCUCAUUUGUUUGGAUUAUUUUUAGUCAUGUAACAGUUUCAGCUGAAUCAGAAACAUUUUAGGGAUUCUGACUAUGACCUGUCCACAUUACUGUAUGUAGGCAGGAUUACAGUACAGGAAAACACAUGCUACAACUAGGGCCUCUACAGUGACAUUUAAAAAAAGAGACACAACAGACUGUUUUGCUCACCUGCCCUCGUACAGAGCCCAGAGUGAUAAUAACACAGGACACGACAUUAAGACUUUGAAUCAGUUAACAGAUUCAUGUACUACACCCCUAAAUCUGCCUGUCUUCUAGAACUUGUUAUCAUGGAUUGCUACACUGUUACUGAGUUAUGUUGUAGGGGGGAUGGAGGCAUGAAAGGAAAUUUCCUUUAAGCACUGCGCAGAGCUUUGCCAGGAGGCUGUUGAGGUAGACAAGAGAAGUGCACAAUUCUCACAUUCUCACCUGUGUCUGUGCUCUCCUCUGUGGUUAGGUUUAGGCAACUCAAGCACUUCACAUGAAGUUAGUAAAUUCCCUAACCUUUGUGAAGUGCUGAUGGUGCCAAAACGUAACCAUAAUUAAAAAAAAUCUGUUUAAGCUGUAAGUUGUAAACAACAUUUCUUCAUUGUGUUUCAUGAAAAAUGCGAUCCGAUAACAAAUAUUUUAUUUUUUAAUUUGUUGUUGUUUUAAACACUUUUAAACACUGAUGUUAUCACCUCAGAGUGCAUACUUGUCCCUCGCAGACACAGUGGGUUUAAGGUGGAUGACAUCAGCGUUAAAGGCAUCUAAACUCAUUACUGGCAGACUGAAAGAUGCUAAAAGGCCACAUAGAGCUGACUGACCUCUGUAGGGUUGUGGGUGAUGACUAUCUAUGAUUGGGUUUCUCUAAGCAAGUCUUGACGUUAGUGCUGCUUUACAAUAUCCUGAUGGUACUUUUGUGUUGAUAUCUUCUUUUCUUUGGGUUAAAAUAUGCACUCAAAAAAUUAGUCUUUGCCCUCAUAAACACAAAAUGAAACUGAAGUAUAUCAAAUCAAAGGUUUAUUCAUUUAAUUCAUUAAUCGUGAUUUUUUUUUAGGGAGCUCAAUGUAAGUUUCAUUUGGCCAGAUUCCAUUAAUUUGAACAUUUUACGUUGUACUUACGUAACUGAAUUUUUUCAUGUAAUCAGAUUACUUAAAUGCCACCACUUUGGGCAUGAAUAUUUUUUGAGUGUGAAUGUUUCCUUGUUUGUAGGUACCCCACUGGAUCCAGACAAACACGCUAGUAAAUGCUCUUGUGCAUACAUGUAAAUAAACAGUUUCUUUUAACAAACUUAUUACUCUGAGCUACUUUCAGUCUUGUUUUCAUAAAAUAAGGCAUUUGAACUCAUGGGUUCUCAGGAGUAUUUUUAAAUAAAAAAGAAGUUAUAUUCCCAGAUGUAGUUAAAUGAGUAACUUCUCAUGAAAAAUGAGCAUUUGCUGCCCUUUUGUGGUUCAGCCUGUACACUCAGACAAGUUUGACGCCUAAAUCAUUUUGGUGUAAAAGAUGAGUAUAUCUGUUAUGUUAUUGCUUUUCAUGGUAGUGUUAAAUUAGUCUCCGAUCUUAUGUCUUUGGGCAACGCAUCUACAAUGUUAUUUUUUGUGCUUUUACACUGAUAAUCUGUAGCAAAUUGUUAAUGAAAGAAUGCAAAACGACAAAGCUCCUUAAUGAGAAUGUGAUGCUGCACGUGGCCCUCAAGUGUGUUAUGGUUGAAACUAUUCAAAACAAAACACUGCAAUGAAUAAAUGAUAACCACUGUGUCAACAAUUGUUUCACAUUUAGUUGACUGUGCCGAGAAGGGCUCACUUACCAGUAGUAGAUGGAGGGACGGUGGGUUUGAUUGUGGAUACACACUCUUUACAGUCUUGGUCUUUGCACUUGUAGCCAGCCUUACAUGGGCACACAUUGUUAUGAGUCGGGUUGCAGUCUGUCUUGACCUCCACUUUUGCUGUGGAAAAACACGGUCAUUGUUAAAAGUGAUUUAAAGACGGAUAAAGUUGAAAGUGUGUGCAAAGGAUGUCUUUGUGAUAAAACUGAAAAUGUGAAAUGACUCACAAAGCUAGGCACGACAGGUAAAGAUUCUGGUUUGAAGUCAUAAGACCGUUAUAUUAUCACGUCUGGUGCUUCUUCUUUAGAGAAUUUUAAACACUUUUUAAACACUGAUGUUAUCACCUCAGAGUGCAUACUUGUCCCUCGCAGACACAGUGGGUUUAAGGUGGAUGACAUCAGCGUUAAGUGCAUCUAAACUCAUUACUGGCAGACUUUAAAAACUAGAAACAACGAGCUGAAAGAUGCUAAAAGGCCACAUAGAGCUGACUGACCUCUGUAGGGUUGUGGGUGAUGACUAUCUAUGAUUGGGUUUCUCUAAGCAAGUCUUGACGUUAGUGCUGCUUUACAAUAUCCUGAUGGUACUUUUGUGUUGAUAUCUUCUUUUCUUUGGGUUAAAAUAUGCACUCAAAAAAUUAGUCUUUGCCCUCAUAAACACAAAAUGAAACUGAAGUAUAUCAAAUCAAAGGUUUAUUCAUUUAAUUCAUUAAUUGUGAUUUAUUUUUUUUUGGGAGCUCAAUGUAAGUUUCAUUUGGCCAGAUUCCAUUAAUUUGAACAUUUUACGUUGUACUUACGUAACUGAAUUUUUUCAUGUAAUCAGAUUACUUAACGCCACCACUUUGGGCAUGAAUAUUUUUUGAGUGUGAAUGUUUCCUUGUUUGUAGGUACCCCACUGGAUCCAGACAAACACGCUAGUAAAUGCUCUUGUGCAUACAUGUAAAUAAACAGUUUCUUUUAACAAACUUAUUACUCUGAGCUACUUUCAGUCUUGUUUUCAUAAAAUAAGGCAUUUGAACUCAUGGGUUCUCAGGAGUAUUUUUAAAUAAAAAGAAGUUAUAUUCCCAGAUGUAGUUAAAUGAGUAACUUCUCAUGAAAAAUGAGCAUUUGCUGCCCUUUUGUGGUUCAGCCUGUACACUCAGACAAGUUUGACGCCUAAAUCAUUUUGGUGUAAAAGAUGAGUAUAUCUGUUAUGUUAUUGCUUUUCAUGGUAGUGUUAAAUUAGUCUCUGAUCUUAUGUCUUUGGGCAACGCAUCUACAAUGUUAUUUUUUGUGCUUUUACACUGAUAAUCUGUAGCAAAUUGUUAAUGAAAGAAUGCAAAACGACAAAGCUCCUUAAUGAGAAUGUGAUGCUGCACGUGGCCCUCAAGUGUGUUAUGGUUGAAACUAUUCAAAACAAAACACUGCAAUGAAUAAAUGAUAACCACUGUGUCAACAAUUGUUUCACAUUUAGUUGACUGUGCCGAGAAGGGCUCACUUACCAGUAGUAGAUGGAGGGAC